rnacentral:ncRNA from 1 species
CAUCGCGAGGCGAAAUCCGAAGGAAGCCGGAUGUUGGAGAAGGCUAACCACGGGCAAACCUCUGGCCUGACGAACAGAAACCGCAUAAAAGGGUAUAUGCGAGGGUAAAGCCGCAAAGCAAGUCGAAGCCCAAUAGCUGCACGGAAUCGCACGUGAUCGAUGCGGCAGAUAGACGGAGGGAAAGAAAC